UACGAGGGGGGCGAGCGUUGUUCGGAAUUAUUGGGCGUAAAGGGUGCGUAGGCGGUUUUGUAAGUCUGAUGUGAAAUCUAUGGGCUCAACUCAUAGCCUGCAUCGGAAACUGCAGGGCUCGAGUGUGGGAGAGGUGAGUGGAAUUCCUGGUGUAGCGGUGAAAUGCGUUGAUAUCGGGAGGAACUCCGGCGGCGAAAGCGGUGCACUGGUGGAUUACUGACGCUGAGGUGCGAAAGCCAGGGGAGCAAACGGG
rnacentral:rRNA from 1 species